rnacentral:siRNA from 1 species
UUAACAUGUGUGAUUGGUUGGUCA